AGAGGUGUAGCUCAGUGAUAGAGCACUUGCCUAGCAUUCAUGAGAUCCUGGGUUCCACCCCUAGUACCACAA
rnacentral:tRNA from 1 species